UAAUAGACAGAUGAACAUAUGAUUGUUUCAAGGAAGCUCAGGCAGAACUACAGCAAAUUACCACUAGAGAUCUGCAACAGUGGGCAUUAGCAGCAGUGAGCCAAUUCCAAAGUGAAGUGCCAAUUCAAGGCAUCAUCAACUUGGGUAGAGGUAUUUAAACAAAGGCACUGAAUUUGGCAAAGGAAAGUUACAAAAUACACCUCUAGAAAAGAUACUGCAUCACUAGAGGAAACAUUAGAAGCUGCCGAAAAAUUCCGAAAAAUGAUAUGCUUUCACGUUUUGCAAUUUUCUCAGGAUUUUAUAAUUAAUACACACCAGACUGGAUGCCAAUAUCAGUCUGCAUUCGACCACACCCUGAUCACAAUUGGAGAGAAGACAGUAGUUGUUGAGCGAAAAGAUAUAUCAAAAAUAUUUCACACACAUACAGCCCAAUAUGCUAUGACAAUGGCUGGAAAACUGCUAUCUAGUGUUUUCUUGUGCUUUCAGGAACCGGCUGGAAAGUUUGGUCCUGUUGUGCAAUAGAGGGUGAACAAUUUAACACAGAAUUGGCAAUGUUGUUG
rnacentral:lncRNA from 1 species